UUAAAAAAAAACUAAAAGCCCAAAAAACACUAAAGCCCAAAAAUUCACUAUAACCUAAAAACAAAUUAAACAGGGAUUGGCUGCUGACAUCUUCACCGAAUUAGGGUCAGUCACUUUGAAAAGAUUUACAACCGUUUUUAAAAUGAUUUACAACCGUUUUUAAAAGAGAAUAUCAACCGUUGAAAAAGUUACAGUAAUGUUAAACACUGUAUCUGUUACUAAUUGGGCCUAGGCCUGUUAUUUAGAAAAACAAACUGUUUUAGUAAAAAAACACUAAAAGCCCAAAAAACACUAAAGCCCAAAAAUUCACUAUAACCCAAAAACAAAAAAGGAAGGGAACCGUGAAAAGACAACAAAAAAGUAACAAAAAAAA
rnacentral:sRNA from 1 species